UUUAAUGCAAAUGGUUGUUGU
ensembl:piRNA 21ur-5264 ncRNA